GAUGAACGCUGGCGGCGUGCCUAAUACAUGCAAGUCGAGCGAACAGACGAGGAGCUUGCUCCUCUGACGUUAGCGGCGGACGGGUGAGUAACACGUGGAUAACCUACCUAUAAGACUGGGAUAACUUCGGGAAACCGGAGCUAAUACCGGAUAAUAUAUUGAACCGCAUGGUUCAAUAGUGAAAGACGGUUUUGCUGUCACUUAUAGAUGGAUCCGCGCCGCAUUAGCUAGUUGGUAGGGUAGCGGCUUACCAAGGCAACGACGCGUAGCCGACCUGAGAGGGUGACCGGCAACAGGGGGAAUGAGGUAGGGGCCAGACUGCUAGGGGAGGCAGCAGUGGGGAAGAUUGCAAAAGGGGAGGAAGCGAGAUGAAGAAGUGACGCGUGCGGGACGACGGCAGACGGGGUGUAAACAGAUUUAGCCGGUGACGAAGCGGGAGUGACGGGAAUGGGUAAAGAAGCAACGGCUAACUACGUG
rnacentral:rRNA from 1 species